UACGUAGGGGGCGAGCGUUGUCCGGAUUUACUGGGCGUAAAGCGCGUGUAGGCGGUACUCUAAGUCCGGGGUGAAAUCCGGGGGCUUAACCCCCGAACGGCGCCGGAAACUGGAGCGCUUGAGUGUCGGAGAGGGGAGUGGAAUUCUCGGUGUAGCGGUGAAAUGCGUAGAGAUCGAGAGGAACACCCGUGGCGAAGGCGGCUCCCUGGCCGAACACUGACGCUGAGACGCGAAAGCGUGGGGAGCAAACAGG
rnacentral:rRNA from 1 species